rnacentral:lncRNA from 10 species
AUAUCUUACUUACCAUGAUUAACUCAUUAAGUGCUACAGCAAUUAAACAGCAACAACCUAUUGACCUUAAUUUUUAAGGUUGUCUAAUAACUAUUUGAUAAGGUUGGGCUGUGUCCCCACCCAAAUCUCAUCUUGAAUUAAUAACUGAUAAGGUUGGGCUGUGUCCCCACCCAAAUCUCAUCUUGAAUUAAUAACUAUUUGAUAAGGUUGGGCUGUGUCCCCGCCCAAAUCUCAUCUUGAACUGUAGCUCCCACAAUUCCCACGUGUCGUGGGAGGGCCCCGGUGGGAGGCCACUGAAUCACGGGGGCGGGCAUUUCUGUUCUAGUGAUAGUGGGUGAGUCUCAGGAGAGCUGAUGGACUUCAAGGGAGGAGUUUCCCUGCACAAGCUGCCUCUCUCAUCGGCCGCCACGUCAGACAUGCGCGACUGUGAGACCUGCCCGGACACAUGGAACUGUUAAUAAGAAUAAAACGAGUUCUGGCCGGGCGCGGUAGCUCACGCCUGUAAUCACAGCAGUUUGGGAGGCCGAGGCGGGCAGAUCAUCUGAUGUCGGGAGUUCAAGACCAGCCUGACCAACAUGGAGAAACCCCGUCCCUACUAAAAAUACAAAAUUACCCUGGUGUGGUGGUGCAUGCCUGUAAUCCCAGCUACUCGGGAGGCUGAGGCAGGAGAAACGCUUGAACCCGGGAGGCAGAGGUUGCGGUGAGCCGAGCUCGCGCCAUUGUACUCCAGCCUGGGCAACGAGUGUGAAACUCCAUUUCAAAAAAUAAAAAUUAAAAAAAA